rnacentral:lncRNA from 1 species
UCUAGAAUUGUUUUUAAUCUUGUCUUGUGUAUAAUACAGAUGGUGUCUUCAUGUGAUGAUGAUCCCGAAGGAGAUGAAGUUCAGACACCAAUCUCUCGUAACAAAGGCAAGCGUAAGAAAACAGAAGGCUGCAGUGGUUCAAGGUCAGAAAAGAAAAGGACGUCAAAGGUCUGUGAACACUUUACUAGAAAGAAAGAAGAUAAUGAUAGAGCUGUCUGCAACUAUUGUGGGAAGGAGAUGGCAUGUGUAACAAAAUCAGGAACAACAAGCUUGAAGAAACAUGUUAAUAUUGCGUGCAAGGCUUACGAAGCAUGGCAGUAUGUGAACAAAGACAAUAAUCAAGGUGCUUUAGAUGUCGACGAUGGUAACAUCAGAGUGUGCAAAGUUUCUGAAUCUGUCUUCAGAGAGGCGACAAAUGAGAUGAUGGUUGUUGGAGAGUUGGCUUUAUCUUGGGUGGAGAGCGUAGCUUGGAGGAAUUUCUGCAACAGGACUAAGCUUUACGUGCCUCAUUCUAGAAGAACAGCGACCCAAGAUAUUGUUGAGACCUUUGUGAAAAAGAAAGAGGCAAUGAAGAAGAUUAUUAAGGAGAACAAUCAACGGCUGUCACUGACGACUGAUAUUUGGAAUGCUCCUCAUACCGGUGCCAGUUACAUGGUGAUUACGGCUCAUUUUAUAGACACCUCGUGGCAUUUGAGGAAGCUCAUCAUUGGAUUCAAGAAUGUGUAUGAUCACAAAGGAUCAACAAUAUCUAAGGUACUUCUUGAUUGCUUAGAGGAAUGGGAUAUCAAAAGGGUGUAUGGCAUAACCGUAGAUAAUGCCACAGCUAAUUCUUCUGCAUUGAGGCGGUUUACUGAAGCUUUUAUUGAGAAAAAUGGCGCUGAUGCAUUGGUUAUAGAUGGGAAGUAUCUGCAUUUUAGGUGUGCUACUCACAUUCUCAAUCUGAUCAUUGAAAGAAUGUUUGCUGGAGAUAGAGAGCAGUGUCAAUGCCAUUCGUAAUGCCAUUUAUUUUGUGAGGUCUUCAACUCAGAGGCAGAUUUCUUUUGAGCGACAUGUAGAGUCAGGAAGACUUCAGAGAGGAAGCUUACCUUUGGAUGUGAAAACUAGGUGGAAUGCGACCUAUUUGAUGCUAGAGCAAGCAUUAAAGUUCAAGGUGGCUUUUGAGAAGAUGGAAGCUGAGGACAAGCCCUACAACGACUACUUCAAUGAGAUUGUGGAUGGACAAAAAUGAGUUGGACCACCAAGUAAAGAGGAUUGGGAAGCUGUUGAUAGGUUAGUCCAGUUCUUAAUUAUUUUCUACGAGGCUACUUUGGUUCUGUCUGCAUCAAAUCAUAUUACUGCGCAUAAGUUGUAUCAUGCGAUUGUCACAGUAACAAGGAACAUUAGUGCUUUAAGCACUGCUCCUGGUCCUGAUGAGAGUUUAAGGUCUAAGACAGCAAACAUGUUAUGUAAACUUGGCAAGUAUUGGAAUCCAUUUGGAACAAAUCCUGAGAAGAUGAAUAAGCUUGUCAUUGUUGCUGGUGUUCUUGACCCAACCAAGAAGAUGAAGGUUACCACAAAGUUA